GGGCAGCGACAACAUGCCUGGCUCGCCUCUUCAUUCGUCGGCACAAGCUCGGCUUGUUCGGGAUUGGUUUUCUGUGUUGCAUACCUAUCGUGAAGGCAUUCGGUCGGUUAAAAAUGUCCCAUCUCCGCCUUGUGCUGCUGCUCCGUGCGGGCGAGCAGUGCGGGGUGGAUCUCAUGGCACUCGUCGUGUUUCGAACCGCAUCACCCGUACGGGUGUUUGGGUAGCCGACCCGCGACGUGUUGCCCGUUGCCUCGGGUACGGAAUAUCGAGUGGGUACGAGGCCCUCGGCCUCCGAUCGCCACAUCAAUGCGUUCUACGCUUUUUGCGAACGACGGUCGGUUCGAUCUUUGUCCGCGCACUCUCGUGCAACGGUUCAAGUCGCGCCGACGUCGGUGAGGGAUGCUACCUGGUUGAUCCUGCCAGUAGUCAUAUGCUUGUCUCAAAGAUUAAGCCAUGCA
rnacentral:misc_RNA from 1 species